GGGAGGCCCAAGCAGCGAGCACAUGCCAUAACCUGCUGGAGGGGCAGGUCCUGGCUCCACACUUCACACGUGAGAUAAAAUGUAAGCUCAUACCAACCUCUGAGCACAAGCAAACGGAUGCAGCGCAUCAGCCAGGUGGGUACUCCUAUACUAAUUACUGUGUUUGCGUAUCAGCUUAUGUUCUUUGUGUCACACUAUAAGAACUUAGGAAAUGUGUGCCACUGUGGUUGGAGGUGGUUGUCUCUCAGCGAAGAUGUGAGAACCCUAUGGGCAUGUAUGGCAAAUGCAAAAUGAAAUGGGUUAGUUCCUUUCACGUCUGAAAGUCAUCUUGCUUUGCAGUUCAAGAGACUGAGAGCUUACAUGCGGCCAGUGACUCUGUCCCAGCUAAAAUAUACUUCUCUGCUGAGAAGUGGUAACAUUUCCAGCCAUUCUAAUGUGGUUAUAAGGAUAAGUCUGGUCAUGCCCUCAUAUGUCUCUCUUUGCUUUAUCUGGUUAAGGCAGUGCCCCUUUCAGAAUGAAGGCAAGCAAUGUGACAUUUCAGGUACUACAGCAAUCUUAAUUGCAAGUCAUUCUAGUAGCGGAGGUGACUAAUGUAAUAAAUACGCACACAUGCAUCGAUACAGACAGCACUCAUUGCAAAAAUGACUGCCAGUCAUUUCUCUAACCAGAAUGUACUAUGAUGUGUACUCUGCUGUUGAAGUUUUAGUGGUGCUUCUGAAUGCCAUACAGCUGGGCCCCACUCUUAAAAAUAGCAGCGAGAUAUGAAUAAGUGCUGUUUGGUUCAGCAGGAAAGAAGAAAACAUCACCUCAGUAGGAACAGAUGAGUCUGGUUAGGUUUUAUGUCUCUUGCUGAAAAACUGCAAAGGAAUAGCUGUAUUUCACAGUGAAAAUUGCAUUUAAUUGAAAGCAAAACAUUCAAGCACCCAAAAGAGAAGUGAGAAGAAGGGAUCCCACUCACAGGGGGAUAGUGGAGCUGAGAGGCUGUCCCUCUAGUCUGGUGGCCAACGGGGCACAGUCCUGUGAGGUUCUGGGGAAGGAGUGGGCUCAAUGAGUGAAAGAUGCUAACACGACCCAGACACUCUGCAACAUUAAACACUUAAAAAGGUUUGGGGUUUUGAAUACAGAGACCUCAGCCUACUUGGUUACCAUGGCAAACAAUCACCAAUAGAAGUCUUUUAAUCUUUAAUUAAAGAUACACAAAAAAGGAGAAAAAACAGUUUAAGCACUUGAAAAAUAAGACUUUAUGCUUUAAAAGUGUCCAUUAUCCCUCUUCCCUUAGCUGUCAACAGUUUUUGUAGCAGUGCUUCCCUCCCUUUAUUUAAGGUCAUAGCAGCACUCACUGUUUUUUGGGAGACACUCAUUGAGAUAGACUGGAUCUGCUGUUAGUACUCAUUUUGGGAUUCUGCUUUGCUCAUUUGAAGACACAGGCAUGCAGGAGGGGAGAGGAAAGGAGAGCAAAGACAAAAAUUAUUACUUCCUCUUCAGGUGUUGACUUUUACUUGCAGCCUCACUGCUAGAAAAAGACAAGCACAACACAUGGACUUAUCAGCCCCUCUCUGAUCAAGGGGAUUUAUAUCAGCGUCUGUCUCAUUUAGACAUUGCUUUUGGUUGUCUCCUUGAUUGCAGUUCACAGCUGUGUUGUACAACCCGUACCCUCCUAUCUAGGAUAGUUUGAUUAAAAGGAAGGUAAAAGAAAGAAAAGGCAGAGAAGCAUGUGAAAAGACUGCAAAGCUACUGAGAGAAGGGUGGCUUCAGGACCCCAAGUCUUCCCUUCCAAGUGGGUUUCCAGGACUGCACUGAAAUUGGUGGACAUAGCGAUGACUCCCAUGUAUCUCCUCACCAGAAACUCACCAGAAGGUCUGACCAGAUCAAGUAAGUGUAGAAUCAUAGAAUCACAAAGGUUGAAAAACACCCACAGGAUCAUCCAGUCCAACCAUUCACCUGUCACCAGUGGUUCUCACUAAACCAUGUCCUUCAACACAACGUCCAAAUGUUCCUUGAAAUACCAACAGUGUCACAGCAGAGACUUAGAUCUCGAAGUUGACAACGACAGCUGUCAGCAUGUCUCCUUUCUGUCCACCUAUUCUAGGAUCAGUAUCAAAAUGGAUGUACCCCAGAGGAUGAUGUACAUGCCACCAGUCACCAGUUGGCUUUAGCUCCUGGCACAUGAGUUUUGGUCCAUUGAUUUUGGCAUUUAUCUUGUACAUCAGGCCUGAUGUCAGCACAGUCCUUGGUUAAUAUUAGGAAGACUUUCUGAUUGAACUAAUUUGGUCUUCCCAUCUUUAACUUGUGCUGACUUCUCCAAGUAAUUUUCUCCAGCAGACUGAGCUGCACUUUCUCACCUCUGUGAACUUUAGCACAUGCGUUUGCCUGAUGUGCUUGCGUAGGAUGUUCAAUGCCCUCUUCUGCUUCCCUGUCUACCCUUCUUCUUUUCCAGGAGAAUACCACAGUCACAAGAGCAGGGGUACCCUGGGAGAGGCUCUGCCAAUGGCACUUUCAUAUUCCUUAGUAGCGCAAUACUCAUUAGCACAGACUGGGGAAGCCAGGUGAAUUGUGUCCAUGAGUGUCUCUACUGGGGUCUGGAAAGAGGACACAUAAGUGGUGAGGAGUAAGAACAACCCACCUUAGUAUGCAGCACAGCACAACCUUAUGGCAUUCUCUUGGGAGAUAAGUGAUGCUGGUUCUAGUUCCCCCAGGCAGAGGAGGAAAUUAAACCCAGGACUCCCACAUCCUUUAUGAGCGAAUAAAAAGUGGCUGUCUUCCUCUCAGCUUUGUGAAUAUAAUCGUGAUAUUUUCUUCCGGGGAAUCAAUUUGGUAAGUCCACGCUGAAUUCAACAAUCAUUUUGGGACAAUGGAAAAAAAAAAGCAAACAUUUUUCAAUGAGAAGGAUGCUGGCUAAAAAAACAUUCUAUUGACUGUAGUGGCAGUACAACAACCAGACAGACCCCAUCACUCUGCCACUUUAUAUCCAGCAGCUGUAGGACAGGAAACUCUCAUACUUGCAGACAGCGGAGGAACUUACCUGGCAAUGUGAAAUCUUGCUAGGAAAAAAGGGUUGUGCGGGAGUAAUGAAAUCCUCUGGGAAUGGCAGAUGAAACCUGAACACCGGUGGGACUGCCUUGAGUUCUGACACAAUUACCACAGUGCAUAAGAAAAACCUGCAAAGAACAGGCUCACUCCGAGGGCUGAGAUGUGACCAGUGUCCCAGUUAUUAUUAGCUACUAAAGGUCUGAAAAGGUUCAAACUCCAUCUUUGUAGGAAUUCAAACAGAGGGAUGCAUGAGGCCUUGCUGACGGCUUCCAGACUGAAAAAGAAAGCGGAGGGAAAAGGGGCAUUUCUCUGACCUUCCUCGGUGAUUGCUCAGAACUGUGUCUACUGAUGGCCGUGUCCAACACCGACAAGAAGAGGCAAGAGAAGUCAAAAUCUGAGGAGUGAGAUGUUCUGCUAGCACAGAAAAGCCACCUGGAGAAACAAAAACAAAUGUCACACAGCUGCGAGUGGGAGAAAUGCUAUUGUUUUCCUGGUAGCCCGUCCUUCCAGUCUUCUGAGAGAAGCGGGGGAAGGAGGAUUUGACCCUCACUGAGUGAAGGAGUUGCUGAUUUAGUCAAGUCAAGAACAGGAUGCGACGUUUUGGUCUAGUGCAUUGACAUUUGCAUCUCUGAGUGAGAAUGCUUAUUUUCAUUGGAGGAACAGCAAGACUGCCUUUUGAAACAUUUAAAGGGGAGCACGCAGAGAAAAGCAGGCGUGUGAAGAGGCUGCUCGCUGGCAAAGCAGACCACAGCAUUUGCUACGGCGGUCGUAGAUCAGGCUGCUCACGGAAAGGGGCCCUUGUCUGAAGAUUCCCACUCCAGUCCCAUUGACUUUAUGGAUAGUCCUCGGGAUCUUGUCUGAGCACAUCCAAAUGUUUGUACAGCACCUGAUGCAAACAGGCCGUCGUCCUGCUUCAUUUGUCAAAUGAUAAAUAACAUAAUAAUGCUGUAAUUGGAGUCAUUCAUACAGACAGUAAUCAUCUGGUGAUUCAGUACAGCACAGACUUGUGAGGUGGAAGGCUGUGCUAAGCUUAUGCAGAGACUUCUAUCUUGCUCAUCAGUUUCUGCACGCUAAAUAUAUUCUGAAUUUACGAAUGCUGAAGUUUUAAGGUUUCAUCAUGAAGCCCUUCAGAGACACUGAGCUGCAUGUAGCACCCUCCCUUCCUUAUCUGCCUGUCCCCGGGGGCAGCUGGAGGACACAGUUGGAGAAGGGAAGCUCCCAGCCCCACGGCUACCCGGGCACCUUGGAAGAGGGCAGGCUGUACCCAGGCGAUAAACGAUUGCAAAGCAGCCCAUUAAUUCAGGAGCAAAGAUACAAAGAACAGCCCACCAGAGCUUCAAACUUCACCAUUUUGCUGUACCAAACCUCCCUUGAAAUGCUAAUUAAAACGAGCUUGGGGAGAGGAGCCUGCUAACAGGAUCACAGCCUCUCUUGCAUCGAGCAAUAGACGUGUAGUAGGCAUCCAUGUUUCCCCGUACGCUUAUUUUCCAAGCUGAGUUGACUGUAAAUGUUGCGGUAAUGUGAAACCCACAGAGGGAGCGGGAUGCAAACACAAAGCAGGAGACGCGAGGCCUAGUCACGGAGCUGCAAUAGAAAAAUACAUGGCAGCCUUCGGCAUAUAAAUAAAUAACUGCCCGAAACGAGGGCUAAUUAACUUGCAAUAAACCGACUUAACCACUUAGGGGCAGCGUUAACACGGAGUUAACAUGCAAAACAAACCUGUGUGUUCUCACCUGGUUAAUUGAAUAUGCGCCCUGAAUAUUCAUGGUGUAUCAAAUAGCGAUACGUCCACGCACUGAGUGAUGCGGUCUGUCAAAGCCGGGGACGUGAGAUAAUGGGGGUAACUCAGUCGCUGCUGCGCAGCGUUAACUUUGAUCAUUUGGCGCUUCUAAACACAUCCAUAGAUGUAGGACUUUGCUGCUUUUCCUCUGUCGGGGUCACGGAGCGUGUUCUAUACAAAGAUUAAAACCUAAAGGAAAAAAAAAAAAGACAUAAAAAAGGGCUUCACUUAAAAUAAACAGAAAGAAGAUGAAACAGAGAAAAAGCCGUCUUUGAGAAAUGCUGCUCUCGCAUGCAGGAGCUGAAAAACCCAUUUUAUCUCCAUGGCCACAUUCGGCGUCACUUUACUUUCACACAAUAUGUUUCUUCUCUACCACGCAUUCAAAAAAACCCCCGGUUCCUUGGAUUCCUCUGAAACGUUUCCUUGCAUCAUAAAGGAGCUCAGACCCACCGCGGGUGUGUUUACACUCCCGGAUCAGAUCAAGUAAAUAAAGGAAAGGGGUUUGGUAGUGCAGCUUGAGUAGCUUCAGGUAGCUCCGGCAGGUGGAAGCCAUGGGGAAAACACCAUCAUCUGCUGCCCUGCUCAGUGCUGGGGCACAGGGGCUCUGGUUCUUGCAGCGUUUAGGUGCCCAGUACAGCAGGUGCCCUCUCAACCAGCACCAGGAGCACCGGCUUGCUCAGCACAAGGAAUGCGAUCUGGACCAGGUUCAAGUGUGCCAUCACCUUUCUGGUGAGUUAGCCUGAGUGCUUGGCAGGAGGUGCGUGCUUUGUGGCUGAAGGGAGACGGAUGAUACCUGAUGUGGCACGAAGUGAGCUCGGUGCGAAGAGACAACAUUGAACACGGCAUGAAGUUAAAGGGGGGUGGGUAAACAAUAUCUGAUCUGGCAGAAGAAGCUGCUGGUACAAAGCUGGCCUGUCAGAGCCAUUAAAGCCAACUCCAACCGGCAGAGUAAGAGCCGUGCGGCCAAAGCACUUUUGCUGUGAUCACCUGGCAACCCAGAGCCAGAUUUCCCACAUUGCCAAACCCAGUGCUCAGGAAAGGGGAGGGAAAUGUGUGACCAUCCUAACUGGUAUGCCUCUUGGAGGCACUGAUACAGAGAAGGUGGUGAAGGGUUGGGGAUGCUCAGCAAUGUAGAUAGGGACCUUGUCUAGCACUGCCCACAGAAUCAGAAUUGUUUGAGUUGGAAGGGACCUUUAAAGGUUACCUGGUCCAACUCCCCCGCAAUGAACACUGACAGCAAGAUCAGGUUGCUCAGAGCUCCAUCCAGCCUGACCUUGAGCAUCUCCAGGGAUAAGGCAUCCACCACCUCGCUGGGCAGUCUGUUCCAGUGCCUCACUACCCUUAUAAUAAACAACUUCCUUAUAUCUAUCUCUCCUUUUUUAGUUUGAAAGCAUUUCCCCACAUGCUAUCACCACAGGCCCUUUCAGGUCUCCCUGGAGCCUUCUGUUCUCCAGGCUGAACAGCCCCAGCUCUCUCAGCCUGAUCUCAUAGGAGAGGUGUUCCACCCCUCGGAUCAUUUCUGUGGCCCUCCUCUGGACGUGCUCCAACAGGUCCACGUCUCUCCUGUACUGAGGACUCCACAUCUGGGCUCAGAACUCCAGGUGUUAUCCCGAAGUCGGAUGGAAAAAAAGCCUGGAAGAAGCGAGAUGGAGCCGAAGCGGCAGCUGGAAAGUAUGGAAGAGAUGUUUCUGCUUUCCUGGGGAGCCUUUACCCUGAGCUGCAGUCAGAAACAUGCUUUGGGGAAAAAAUGCUGAACUCUUGACUGCUGUUAAUAGCCAUGGGCAGGAUAAUGGCUGUGAGAAGGGAGUGCUUCCUGCUGGGACAGGGACAGAAUGAAGCGCAGUUCACUGGAACUGCGGUCACUGACACGGGCUCAGAAGUUCCUUAUCUCUCCCGGCUGUAAUGGGGCUGGGGGAGAGGUGAGACACAUAGGGCAGAGAGGUUGUGAGAAACUGAGCAAGACCCCAAAGGAUAGCGUGAAAAGAAAGAGCCAAGUAAAUGCAAUCCUCGGUUCCAAUCAGGAAAGUUAGGAAAUGAGAUCUGAAACACCCUCCUGGGAGUCUGGUGUGUGCUGAAGAAGCACGCUGAAAGAAAUUCUCAUGCAAGCCGUGUCACUGUGAUUGUCAAAGAAACUGAGCCCUCACUCCUUUCUUUUGUGGCAAUUUUCUUUCAGACAGCUCCUGUCUUUUUUUUUUUUUUCCUUUCCCCCCAUAAUAGAAAUGGAUAUCCUCACAUUAUUCACUGUUUGCUCUUUUACUGAAAUUAUGGGAUGUGGGGCUUGUUCUGAGGGAUAGUUUGGAAAGGUCCCUGUUUGUCUGAUUUGCCUGGUAAUAAAGUCCAAAGCAGACUCUGUCUUCCUAAAGCACAAGCUAAGUGAGGAAAGAAGCUGCAGAGGACAGGUCUGGAGUCCCUGAGGAGCUGUCAAGGCAGAGGAGAAUUCACAAAUGCAGGUGAAGAGGCUGUGCUUCUCAUAAACAAAGAGCAAGCCGUGCUUCUCAGGUGGAGAUGAUUGCCUCUAGAUUAAGGAGGGCUGCAAAUGAAGAAUAAAAGUUCAUUGCUGUGAGCGAGAGAGGGCAUCUUGUAUUGCUUCCCAGUGCUACUGGCUUCUCAAAUAGGCUGGCAGGCUUGAACCAAAGAGGUGCGCUGCUGGAAAACAGGGGCAGGGAAAGGGGAGCGUGAGCACUUUUGACUCAGCUGUCAUAAUCCCCCUUGCCUGAGCACCUGGAUGGUGUCCACAGGUUUUCUCUGGUUCCAAAAACCAUGCCGAAAGUAUAGUUUAUGGAAAUGUUUGCGGUUUGAUUUAUCUGAGCCACCUGCUAGGAAGCAGACUGCGGAGCAGCAGCAGCAGCACAAGUUAACGGCUGUGUUCCUUCAGGCUGCCUUGUGGCUCCCUUGAUCUCGUGCUCUG
ensembl:lncRNA